rnacentral:rRNA from 1 species
UACGGGGGGGGCAAGCGUUGUUCGGAAUUACUGGGCGUAAAGGGCUCGUAGGCGGCCAACUAAGUCAGACGUGAAAUCCCUCGGCUUAACCGGGGAACUGCGUCUGAUACUGGAUGGCUUGAAUCCGGGAGAGGGAUGCGGAAUUCCAGGUGGAGCGGUGAAAUGCGUAGAGAUCGGAAAGAACACCAACGGCGAAAGCACUCUGCUGGGCCGACACUGACACUGAGAGACGAAAGCUAGGGGAGCGAAUGGG